GUCAGCGGUGAAAUUUGCGGCUCAACCGUAACACUGCCGUUGAAACUGUUUGCCUUGAAUUUAGUUGAAGUGGGCGGAAUGUGUUGUGUAGCGGUGAAAUGCUUAGAUAUAACACGGAACACCGAUUGCGAAGGCAGCCCACUAAGCUAUGAUUGACGCUGAUGCACGAAAGCGUGGGUAGCGAACAGGAUUAGAUACCCUGGUAGUCCACGCCGUAAACGAUGAUUACUCGUUGUCGGCCAUACACCGUCGGCGACCGAGCGAAAGCAUUAAGUAAUCCACCUGGGGAGUACGUUGGCAACAAUGAAACUCAAAGGAAUUGACGGGGGCCCGCACAAGCGGAGGAACAUGUGGUUUAAUUCGAUGAUACGCGAGGAACCUUACCUGGACUUAAAUGUGGGAUGCAUGGGGCAGAGAUGUCCCUUUCUUCGGACCUCCUACAAGGUGCUGCAUGGUUGUCGUCAGCUCGUGCCGUGAGGUGUCGGGUUAAGUCCCAUAACGAGCGCAACCCCUAUCUUUAGUUACCAGCGCGUAGAGGCGGGGACUCUAAAGAGACUGCCGGUGUAAACCGUGAGGAAGGUGGGGAUGACGUCAAAUCAGCACGGCCCUUACGUCCAGGGCUACACACGUGUUACAAUGGCCGGUACAAAGGGCAGCUACAUGGCGACAUGAUGCUAAUCCCCAAACCCGGUCUCAGUUCGGAUCGGAGUCUGCAACCCGACUCCGUGAAGCUGGAUUCGCUAGUAAUCGCGCAUCAGCCAUGGCGCGGUGAAUACGUUCCCGGGCCUUGUACACACCGC
rnacentral:rRNA from 1 species